GAGCUAGGAGGAGGAGGAGGGAGUUUGGAGGCAGAAAACUGUGCUGGCAGUAUUACAUAAGCCGGCAGCCCAGUCCCAGUGCUCACAUUAAUGUGGUUAGGCACUCGGAAGUGAUGUCCAUUAGUCACAAGUGACAAGGCAGGUGAAGACGCGGCAUCCAGCAGUGAUUUUAAAAGCCAUUGUUGUUCAUAAUGGAGAGCGUUUGGACCAUAUAAGUCAAAAAGAAAGAAGAGAAAACACACACAUUAUGAGGAGGACGAGUCGCCUACUGUACUGAACAAACAGGGACUGAUAACACCCCAGAGGGAACAGUUCAAGCAAACAAACAUGCAUGAGGAUACAUGACGUGAAAACACACUGUAUGAACACACACACACACAUAUAUAUAUAUGUAAUAAUGACAUAUGGAUGAUAAAUGAUUUGGAAAUACACAAGCUCUCAUUGGAGGGUGAAAUGAGGGGGAUGUGGAUGUGUAUAUAAAAGGUGCAUCAAUCAACAUGAACAUGAAAAAUACAUCACAGGAUAAAAUAAAGGAAAGUGGAGCUGCCGGUGUGACUGACAGCCCAUACUGUAUGUAUCUGCAUAUAUAACACACACACUCUGUAUACAUCAAGAUGUAACCAGCACAUCUCAGCAGUUUAUGAUCCACUGAAGCGACAGUCCACCCAAAAUCUACAGUAUGUUAUGAAACACUCGUGUAACUCCCUCCGCGAAACGAUUUGAAAAAAACAAGUAAGUAGUCCAGGAUUGAGUGUUAAGGAUAAACCUCCGACCUCAGCUUCAUAUAUGGA